rnacentral:rRNA from 1 species
UGGGGAAUUUUGCACAAUGGGGGAAACCCUGAUGCAGCGACGCCGCGUGAUUUAGAAGGCCUUCGGGUUGUAAAAAUCUUUUCUAUGGGAAGAAAAUGACAGUACCAUAGGAAUAAGGACCGGCUAAUUACGUGCCAGCAGCCGCGGUAAUACGUAAGGUCCGAGCGUUGUCCGGAAUCAUUGGGCGUAAAGGGUACGUAGGCGGGUAAGCAAGUUAGAAGUGAAAUCCUAUAGCUCAACUAUAGUAAGCUUUUAAAACUGCUCAUCUUGAGGUAUGGAAGGGGAAGUGGAAUUCCUAGUGUAGCGGUGAAAUGCGCAGAUAUUAGGAGGAAUACCGGUGGCGAAGGCGACUUUCUGGCCAUAACCUGACGCUGAGGUACGAAAGCGUGGGUAGCAAACAGG